AAAAAGGCGACAGCGACAUUUUGCUAAUAUCUUGAUUGACAAGUUCUUUACGGUAUUAACUAAAGCCAUGUUUGAUAGCUUGAUUUCCACUGGAAUGCAACCAAAAUGUUCUUAAGACAAGCAUCCAUAAUAACUGAAUUCAAUUUCUCAGUCCUGAUCUUGGAGACCCGUAUGUACGCCAGUGUGUGUUCUAACCAUAGUAGUAAGCUUUGUAUUACAAUGAGCUGCUAAUUGUUCUUAAUUGGCCUUUUUGAAUGACAAAUUAUCCCCUUGAACCCUCAUUAUGCCAGAAAUAGUAAUGUAUGCCCUUAAAAAUAAAUGUCCCAUAUUCACAUUCACUUAUGCUUUCAUUUACUGUGCUGUAUGCACUAUAUGGAAAAUAAUUUCAGUUGAAAGAGGUUCCAUAGCAAAUUGAUUCACUUAAAAACUGACAGGUGAACUCAGUUGGGUCCCAUUUUCUCAGUGUUUGGGAACCUGAAACUAUUUGUGUAAUAUAAAUGGAGUUUACUGACAGAAAAUGGCAACAAGCCAAACAUGCAUUGUUUUACACACAAUUAUG